rnacentral:rRNA from 1 species
AGCGAACGCUGGCGGCAGGCUUAACACAUGCAAGUCGAGCGCCGUAGCAAUACGGAGCGGCAGACGGGUGAGUAACACGUGGGAACGUACCUUUUGGUUCGGAACAACACAGGGAAACUUGUGCUAAUACCGGAUAAGCCCUUACGGGGAAAGAUUUAUCGCCGAAAGAUCGGCCCGCGUCUGAUUAGCUAGUUGGUGAGGUAACGGCUCACCAAGGCGACGAUCAGUGGCUGGUCUGAGAGGAUGAUCAGCCACACUGGGACUGAGACACGGCCCAGACUCCUACGGGAGGCAGCAGUGGGGAAUAUUGGACAAUGGGCGCAAGCCUGAUCCAGCCAUGCCGCGUGAGUGAUGAAGGCCCUAGGGUUGUAAAGCUCUUUUGUGCGGGAAGAUAAUGACUGUACCGCAAGAAUAAGCCCCGGCUAACUUCGUGCCAGCCGCCGCAGUAACAC